rnacentral:rRNA from 1 species
GAGUUUGAUCAUGGCUCAGAUUGAACGCUGGCGGAAUGCUUUACACAUGCAAGUCGAGCGGCAGCGCGGGGCAACCCGGCGGCGAGCGGCGAACGGGUGAGUAAUGCAUCGGAACAUGUCCAUGUCGUGGGGGAUAGCCCGGCGAAAGCCGGAUUAAUACCGCAUACGCCCUGAGGGGGAAAGUGGGGGACCGCAAGGCCUCACGCGAUUGGGUUGGCCGAUGUCCGAUUAGCUAGUUGGCGGGGUAAGAGCCCACCAAGGCGAUGAUCGGUAGCUGGUCUGAGAGGAUGAUCAGCCACACUGGGACUGAGACACGGCCCAGACUCCUACGGGAGGCAGCAGUGGGGAAUUUUGGACAAUGGGGGCAACCCUGAUCCAGCCAUUCCGCGUGAGUGAAGAAGGCCUUCGGUUGUAAG